rnacentral:rRNA from 1 species
UACGUAGGGUCCAAGCGUUGUCCGGAUUUAUUGGGCGUAAAGAGCUCGUAGGCGGCUCGGUAAGUCGGAUGUGAAACCUCCAGGCUCAACCUGGAGUCGCCAUCCGAUACUGCUGUGGCUUGAGUCCGGUAGGGGAGCAUGGAAUUCCUGGUGUAGCGGUGAAAUGCGCAGAUAUCAGGAGGAACACCAGUGGCGAAGGCGGUGCUCUGGGGCCGGUACUGACGCUGAGGAGCGAAAGUGUGGGGAGCGAACAGG